rfam:Canis lupus familiaris chromosome 9, whole genome shotgun sequence.
GCCUAGGUGGCUCAGUGUUUGAGCACCUGCCUUUGGCUCAGGAAGUGAUCCUGGGGUGGUGGGAUCGAGUCCCACAUCAGGCU